rnacentral:rRNA from 1 species
AGCGAACGCUGGCGGCAGGCCUAACACAUGCAAGUCGAACGAACCUUUCGGGGUUAGUGGCGGACGGGUGAGUAACACGUGGGAACGUGCCUUUAGGUUCGGAAUAACUCAGGGAAACUUGUGCUAAUACCGAAUGUGCCCUUCGGGGGAAAGAUUAAUCGCCAUUAGAGCGGCCCGCGUCUGAUUAGCUAGUUGGUUGAGGUAAUGGCUCACCAAGGCGACGAUCAGUAGCUGGUCUGAGAGGAUGAUCAGCUACAUUGGGACUGAGACACGGCCCAAACUCCUACGGGAGGCAGCAGUGGGGAAUCUUGCGCAAUGGGCGAAAGCCUGACGCAGCCAUGCCGCGUGAAUGAUGAAGGUCUUAGGAUUGUAAAAUUCUUUCACCGGGGACGAUAAUGACGGUACCCGGAGAAGAAGCCCCGGCUAACUUCGUG